CACGGUCCAGACUCCUACGGGAGGCAGCAGUGGGGAAUAUUGCACAAUGGGCGCAAGCCUGAUGCAGCCAUGCCGCGUGUGUGAAGAAGGCCUUCGGGUUGUAAAGCACUUUCAGUCGUGAGGAAGGCGGUGUAGUUAAUAGCUGCAUCGUUUGACGUUAGCGACAGAAGAAGCACCGGCUAACUCCGUGCCAGCAGCCGCGGUAAUACGGAGGGUGCGAGCGUUAAUCGGAAUUACUGGGCGUAAAGCGCAUGCAGGUGGUUUGUUAAGUCAGAUGUGAAAGCCCGGGGCUCAACCUCGGAAUUGCAUUUGAAACUGGCAGACUAGAGUACUGUAGAGGGGGGUAGAAUUUCAGGUGUAG
rnacentral:rRNA from 1 species